GAUAUUUUUAACCUUCACUAGCAUAUGAUAUAUUUAUGUUAAGAUGCAAAUAUCUGGUACUCUCCCUCCACAAGGCCAAUUUUGUCAAUUCACCAAGCUCACCUCAUAGUAGUAGCAUCUUUGUGUUUACUCCAAAAGUUUACAAACUCUCUCCCUUCUACUAUCAUCUCUAUCACAUGAUCUCAAUUUUCACUCUCACUCCUCCCCUCAACUCUAAGGAGUGAGAGGGAAAAGAAACAACAAACAAACCCUCCUUCUCCAUCUCUAUAGCAAAUUUUAUACAUAUUGAUGGCGGUGCACAUGGUGGCGGUCGCGAAGCUGAAGCUUCUCGCGGGGGGCGGCCACAGCAACUGGAAGCUCCUCGCGGCGCUGCUCUGCCCCUUCGCGCUGAAGCUGCCCUUCUUCGCACAGUUUCCGUCGUCGUGUGCCGACAUAGCGGUCUCCGUCCGCCUCUUCCUCUUCCGCCUCAACCGCAUAUUCUUCGACGACAGCAUCCCCGCCGCGGGGCGGUGGAGAAGGGCGCUGCGGCUUCUCCACGAUCGGGCGAACGCCGACGAGGGGAUGCUUAGGAUGGUUCAAGUCAAUGAGGAGAUGCUCAAUGCUUUGUCCAUGCUAGCUCUCUAAAGGAUUGAUUCAUAUGAAUAUAUCAUGUUCAUGAGCAUAAUAUGGUCUGAAGCUAUUAUAGAUAUAUCAUUUUGUGUGGUGAGAGCAAAUAAAUAUAUCUCUAUAUUUUGCACCAAUUGCAUCUAUUGUAUAAGGUAUAGUAGUGUAAACGUAAUAUGAUUAUUAUAUAGAGUGUGUAGGGAAAAAAAAAGGAAUAAGAAAUACUUAACGAUUUUGUUUUUUGAACUUUUCACACUCAAAUGCACACUAUUUAUAUCAUAUUUUGAGGGGAUAUAGAAUUGUCCAAUAUUAUUCUGAAAAUUUAAUAGUGUUAAUUUAUAAUUAAUAGUGUUAAUAUGUUAAUAUAAACUAUUGGGCAUAUAUAUAUAAAUAGUCCAACUACCAUCCUCCUAAGAAGAUGGAGACCAUUAUCCUAUGGAGUCGUUGUCCGUGACUAAAACUCCAAAUUGAUAAUUAACAUUGUUAAAAUUGGUUUAGACUAUUUAAAAAAAUUUUAAACUAAAUUUUAUAGUUUUUAAAAAUUAUUAUUAAAUCUAUCAAAGAGUCGAAAACAAUGAAAGGUCAAAAACGUAUAAUCUUGUGAAAAUAAAAAUUAAACUUUUUCAAUUGAAGAUCAAAAUCAUAAUUAUAUUAUAUAGAUAGUAGAAA
rnacentral:lncRNA from 1 species